GGGAUUAGCUCAGCUGGCUAGAGCGCUUCGCUUGCACCGAAUAGGUCGUCGGUUCGACUCCGAUAUCCUCCACAAUCAGC
rnacentral:tRNA from 1 species